GAAGAGGCAAAAAGAAAAUUUAUGCUUGUAGCACAACAACUUACACAGGCUUUCAAGCUGUAAUGACCGAAGAAGAGUCAGAGAAGUUUAAUGGAUCUGGUGUAGUGCUAUGAAUGUAUGGCCUGCCCUUAUUGUUGAGACAAGCAAUGCUUUCAGGGCUUUAUACAGGGCAUUCUAACAUCAUCUGAACAGGCUGAUAUGACCAUGUUAGAAGACGAACUACCAACAAAAAGAUGACUUUCAUCAGGCCUUGUCAAGGUAUAUUGAGAUGAUUUCUUUGGAGCAAUUCUUGACAACAUUUGUAGUUGAGGCCUUUAGAAUGGAAGAAUGUAUUUCACUAAUUUUUGUAUACAUUUCUUGUUUUGUAUUUAGUGAUAAAGGAAUCUGAAUUGGGCAUAAAUUAUGUUGUAAUAUGAUUUCUUAAGCCUAGACUAGUAGACUAAAUAUUGUAAUUACAUUUGAGUAAUUAAUAAAAAUCUAUUUAUGUUACC